GGAAGAAUACGCCCAGCUUCAGUUUGAACACCGGAAGAAUACGCCCAGCUUCGGUUUGGAACACUGGAAGAGUAGGCCCAGCUUCAGUUUUGAAAUAUUCCAUCAAUUCUUCUGCUCCUACAUCAUGGAGCUCUUCCUCAUCAAUAUAUUUAAUUUAAAUAUUUAUUUACAAUAGCCUCUUUUCUCUUGACCUGUUCUGCACAAGGCAGGCCUGGAUACUGUGCUGAGGGUUUCACUCCACGAUAGCGGGUGCUCUACCAGAGUCUCUGCACAGCGGCUACAUCCCUGUCUCAAACCAGUGCUCUGGCGUCUGUCUUUACCCUCUUCUGAAAUUACUGUAUAAAAAAGCCUGCUUUUGAGAGACAUCAAGAAUACACGGUUCCAUCUUUAUGAUGAGAGACAGAUCUCCCAUUAAAAGAAAAAUUCUGCAUUCUGAAAAAUAGAGACGGGAUUUCACCAUGUUAUCCAGGAUGGUCUCGAUCUCCUGACCUAGUGAUCCACCCAUCUCGGCCUCCCAAAGUGCUGGGAUUCCAGGCGUGAGCCACUGCACCCGGCGAAGUUCUGCACUUCUGCUGUUCUGCUGCCUUGGCAAUGGAGCCACUUGCUGAGAGGCUGCAACUCUCCUGGUACUCUGGGGGGAAGCUUAACAACUAAGAUGCAGAGCAAAGCAAGACGAUGCCGGCAGCAGGCUUUUGGUGCUUGUGGGGCAGCAGGUUGUACCAGGGGCAGGUGCAGACCCCUGCCUCCCUUGCCUUCACCACAGCCCCGACAGGCCAGGCCAGCCUAUCCAUCAUGUCUCUAGGAUAUCUCGGAGGUUCGAGGCCACUGCACCAUUUGCAGCACACUCCACUCGCUGAUCUGCGAUAUGGGAGAUGUGCUCAUUGGCGAAUAAAUCAUCAUGUCAAGUUAAUGGCCUGUGUCCAAGGCGAGUGACUUCGAGGUCAGCAUAGCAGCAUACCAUUGGAUGCAGUGGGUUCUGCUUCUGCGCACAGUGCAUCGACAUCAGAACAUAAAUUUUCAAAUACCAGAUGCGAUGAGAGACAACAUCGAGCUUUCUGUUUUUUUAAGGAGAAGAGGAGAUCCUGAAUACAUUUUCUGAAAUGUGCCUCCACUUCCUCACUAAUCCCGACACGUGGGAGGAAGGAGAGGAGGAUGGUGAAGACCAUCAGCAAGGGAGAGCAGGUCCCCUGCCCUGGUCCCCUGCCCUGGUUCCCUGCCCUGGUUCCCUGCCCUGGUCCCCUGCCCUGGUCCCCUGCCCUGGUCCUCUGCCCUGAUUCCCUGCCCUGGUUACCUGCCCCAUGUUGUAGGUCUUUGGGCUACAUUUCUACUCAUUGGUUGAACAUAAAAACCAUCCCAUGAACUAUUUGGCAGCAAGUUCAAAGCAAAGAAUAUUAACUCUGUGAGGCAGCUUAGACAAUGCCUGGCUUAACCCCCACUUGACAAAUAAAGACAUACAUUCUAACUCACUCACCAUCCCAGGAGCAAUGGACCAGGCUGAGGAACUGUGUCCCCUGCCCGCAGCCCACUUGGCCUUCCACUGUGACGUCCAGGCUGAGGAACUGUGUCCCCCACCCGCAGCCCACUUGGCCUUCCACUGUGACGUCCAGGCUGAGGAACUGUGUCCCCCACCUGCAGCCCUCUUGGCUUUCCACUGUGACGUCCUUUCCAGGACUCUGAGCAGAGAUGGGUUUAUAACAAGCAUAAGUUGUUAUUUUGUAUCUCUCUGCACAUCAAUUUAUAUAUUUUGAAAAUUAAAAGAAAUCCACUGAUAAGAAUUUUUCUCACAAGUUAAUUAAGGAAACUAGAUCAAUGGAAAGUUCUUAGGUUAUGAAAAUAUUGAUGUGAAUAUGUUAUGUGAGAAUCAUUUCAAAAUGAGUUAAAGGGGCUGGGCACAGGGGCUCAUGCCUGUAAUCCCAGCGCUUUGGGAGUCCAAGGCGGGUGGAUCAUGAGGUCAAAAGAUUGAGACCAUCCUGGUCAACAUGGUGAAACCCUGUCCCUACUAAAAAUACAAAAAUUAGCCAUGCAUGGUGGUGCAUGCCUGUAGUCCCAGCUCCUCGGGAGGCUGAGGCGGGAGAAUAGCUUGAACCCGGGAGGUGGAGGUUGCGGUGAGCUGAGAUCAAGCGACUGCACUCCAGCCUGGCAACAGAGCAAGACUCCGUCUCAAAAAAAAAAAAAAAAAAAAAAAAGAGUUAAGGGAAUCUAGGAUGUUUUGCUCACAGUCCCUGAACUUUGGGGCUUGCCUUGAAUUUGUGGUGGCCACAGAGUGCAGGCUUGACU